rnacentral:rRNA from 1 species
GAUGAACGCUGGCGGCGUGCCUAAUACAUGCAAGUCGAGCGAACGGACGAGAUGCUUGCUUCUCUGAUGUUAGCGGCGGACGGGUGAGUAACACGUGGAUAACCUACCUAUAAGACUGGGAUAACUUCGGGAAACCGGAGCUAAUACCGGAUGAUAUUUUGAACCGCAUGGUUCAAAAGUGAAAGACGGUCUUGCUGUCACUUAUAGAUGGAUCCGCGCUGCAUUAGCUAGUUGGUAAGGUAACGGCUUACCAAGGCAACGAUGCAUAGCCGACCUGAGAGGGUGAUCGGCCACACUGGAACUGAGACACGGUCCAGACUCCUACGGGAGGCAGCAGUAGGGAAUCUUCCGCAAUGGGCGAAAGCCUGACGGAGCAACGCCGCGUGAGUGAUGAAGGUCUUCGGAUCGUAAAACUCUGUUAUUAGGGAAGAACAUAUGUGUAAGUAACUGUGCACAUCUUGACGGUACCUAAUCAGAAAGCCACGGCUAACUACGUG